rnacentral:rRNA from 1 species
GACAUAGGUGACGAACGUUAUCCGGAAUUAUUGGGCGUAAAGGAUGCGUAGAUGGUUCGAUAAGUUACUGGUGGGAAAUCGAGGCCCAACCUCGUGGAAGCUGGUAAUACUGUCGAGCUUGAGUGCAGGAGAGGUUAACGGAACUUUAUGUGGAGCGGUAAAAUGCGUAGAUAUAUGAAAGAACACCGAUAUGGCGAAGGCAGUUAACUAUUCUGCUACUGACAUUGAGGCAUGAAAGCGUGGGGAGCAAAACGG